AGAGUGGCUAGAAGAGGCAGAAGGUGCUGUGCUAUGGCCACCCAUAUCACCCCAUGUGCUGAGAGAUUUUGUCUAGAAACCGCACAUUGCACCUGGGCUUUGGUGACACAAGAGCAUCAGGCAGUAAAUCUACUUGGAAGACAACCGCAUGUAGCAGGAGG